UACUCUAUACUCCUGUCUUACAUAAGUUAGAUAGGGAAAGUUUUUCGGUGUAGGAUGAGGCUAUAUUGUAUCAGCUAGUUGGUGAGGUAAUGGCUCACCAAGGCUAUGACGCAUAACUGGUCUGAGAGGAUGAUCAGUCACACUGGAACUGAGACACGGUCCAGACUCCUACGGGAGGCAGCAGUAGGGAAUAUUGCUCAAUGGGGGAAACCCUGAAGCAGCAACGCCGCGUGGAGGAUGACACUUUUCGGAGCGUAAACUCCUUUUGUUAGGGAAGAAUAAUGACGGUACCUAACGAAUAAGCACCGGCUAACUCCGUGCCAGCAGCCGCGGUAAUACGGAGGGUGCAAGCGUUACUCGGAAUCACUGGGCGUAAAGGACGCGUAGGCGGAUUAUCAAGUCUCUUGUGAAAUCCUAUGGCUUAACCAUAGAACUGCUUGGGAAACUGAUAAUCUAGAGUGAGGGAGAGGCAGAUGGAAUUGGUGGUGUAGGGGUAAAAUCCGUAGAGAUCACCAGGAAUACCCAUUGCGAAGGCGAUCUGCUGGAACUCAACUGACGCUAAUGCGUGAAAGCGUGGGGAGCAAACAGGAUUAGAUACCCUGGUAGUCCACGCCCUAAACGAUGUAUACUAGUUGUUGCUAAGCUAGUCUUGGCAGUAAUGCACCUAACGGAUUAAGUAUACCGCCUGGGGAGUACGGUCGCAAGAUUAAAACUCAAAGGAAUAGACGGGGACCCGCACAAGCGGUGGAGCAUGUGGUUUAAUUCGAAGAUACGCGAAGAACCUUACCCGGACUUGAUAUCUAACAAAUCAUCCAGAGAUGGAAGAGUGUCUGCUUGCAGAAAUGUUAAGACAGGUGCUGCACGGCUGUCGUCAGCUCGUGUCGUGAGAUGUUGGGUUAAGUCCCGCAACGAGCGCAACCCACGUCAUUAGUUGCUAACAGUUCGGCUGAGCACUCUAAUGAGACUGCCUUCGUAAGGAGGAGGAAGGUGUGGACGACGUCAAGUCAUCAUGGCCCUUAUGUCCGGGGCGACACACGUGCUACAAUGGCAUAUACAAUGAGACGCAAUAUCGCGAGAUGGAGCAAAUCUAUAAAAUAUGUCCCAGUUCGGAUUGGAGUCUGCAACUCGACUCCAUGAAGCCGGAAUCGCUAGUAAUCGU
rnacentral:rRNA from 1 species